rnacentral:rRNA from 1 species
AGUAACGGCGAGUGAAGCGGGAAGAGCUCAAAUUUAAAAUCUGGCAGGCUACGCUUGUCCGAAUUGUAAUCUCGAGAAGUGUUUUCCGCGUUGGCCUGUGUACAAGUCCCUUGGAACAGGGCGUCAUAGAGGGUGAGAAUCCCGUCCUUGACACAGACACCCAAUGCUUUGUGAUACACUCUCAAUGAGUCGAGUUGUUUGGGAAUGCAGCUCAAAAUGGGUGGUAAAUUCCAUCUAAAGCUAAAUACUGGCGAGAGACCGAUAGCGAACAAGUACCGUGAGGGAAAGAUGAAAAGCACUUUGGAAAGAGAGUCAAACAGUACGUGAAAUUGUUGAAAGGGAAACGAUUGAAGUCAGUCGUGCCUGCCUAGAUUCAGCCUUCUGGUGUAUUUCUAGGUCGGCAGGUCAGCAUCAGUUUGGGGGGGUUAACAAGGGAGCUGGGAAUGUGGCAACCUCGGUUGUGUUAUAGCCCAGUUUCGCAUUGAUCU